rnacentral:snRNA from 1 species
GUGCUCACCUUGGUAGCAUGCAUACUGCCAAAACUGAGAAGAUGCAGAGAAGAUUAGCAUGGUCCCUGCGCACCAAUGACAUGGAAAGGUGCCAUAAUUGG